CAACAGUGGCUCUAUCAACGAAAACAGGGCGCAACAGUAACGGUGUGACCCCAAUCGACGGCAGCGGCGGCGGCGGAGCAGGACGGUGCGAGAACGGACCUCGUCCUUCUCCUUCCAGGUUCGUUCUUCUGACAGCAGCGACGGUUAGGAUUCGGCGGCAGUGACUCCCUCAAUGGCGACGGCGGCGGUCUAGGCGGAAUCGGCGGUGAUGACGGGAGCAGUCUUCCUCCCCUUCCUUGACUCUCGAGCUCUCCGUCUCCCUCUCUCAAUCUCUCUUCUCCUUCCUCACGUCCGUCUCUCUCUCAG
rnacentral:lncRNA from 1 species